rnacentral:lncRNA from 1 species
AGGAUUUUGCUGCAAAAACCCGACCCUAGCACCGGGACCUCUACAGCUCCAAAAAUGGAUGAAGUAGUAAAGGGCUGCAGCCACCAAGGAUAUUCAGCUGCAGUCUCUAGACCUUAAUCGCAUCAUCAAGCUGCUUGAAGAUCCAAACUCAGAGCUUCAUGUGGAGCCAGAGGUAUCCAGAAUGGUGAGAGGAACACACUAUGAUUCUGCAACUGCUUUACCCU